CAGCAGUCGCCACGGUAAUACGAAGGUCCCGAGCGUUGUUCGGAAUCACUGGGCGUAAAGGGAGCGUAGGCGGCGUGGUAAGUCAGAUGUGAAAUCCCGGGGCUCAACCCCGGAACUGCAUCCGAUACUGCCAUGCUAGAGGAUUGGAGAGGUAGCUGGAAUUCUUGGUGUAGCAGUGAAAUGCGUGGAGAUCAAGAGGAACACUCGUGGCGAAAGCGAGCUACUGGACAAUAACUGACGCUGAGGCUCGAAGGCCAGGGUAGCGAAAGGGAUUAGAUACCCCAGUAGUCCCUGUCUCUUAUAC
rnacentral:rRNA from 1 species